CGAAUGCUGACAUAAGUAACGAUAAAGCGGGUGAAAAGCCCGCUCGCCGGAAGACCAAGGGUUCCUGUCCAACGUUAAUCGGGGCAGGGUGAGUCGACCCCUAAGGCGAGGCCGAAAGGCGUAGUCGAUGGGAAACAGGUUAAUAUUCCUGUACUUGGUGUUACUGCGAAGGGGGGACGGAGAAGGCUAUGUUGGCCGGGCGACGGUUGUCCCGGUUUAAGCGUGUAGGCUGGUUUUCCAGGCAAAUCCGGAAAAUCAAGGCUGAGGCGUGAUGACGAGGCACUACGGUGCUGAAGCAACAAAUGCCCUGCUUCCAGGAAAAGCCUCUAAGCAUCAGGUAACAUCAAAUCGUACCCCAAACCGACACAGGUGGUCAGGUAGAGAAUACCAAGGCGCUUGAGAGAACUCGGGUGAAGGAACUAGGCAAAAUGGUGCCGUAACUUCGGGAGAAGGCACGCUGAUAUGUAGGUGAAGCGACUUGCUCGUGGAGCUGAAAUCAGUCGAAGAUACCAGCUGGCUGCAACUGUUUAUUAAAAACACAGCACUGUGCAAACACGAAAGUGGACGUAUACGGUGUGACGCCUGCCCGGUGCCGGAAGGUUAAUUGAUGGGGUUAGCGGUAACGCGAAGCUCUUGAUCGAAGCCCCGGUAAACGGCGGCCGUAACUAUAACGGUCCUAAGGUAGCGAAAUUCCUUGUCGGGUAAGUUCCGACCUGCACGAAUGGCGUAAUGAUGGCCAGGCUGUCUCCACCCGAGACUCAGUGAAAUUGAACUCGCUGUGAAGAUGCAGUGUACCCGCGGCAAGACGGAAAGACCCCGUGAACCUUUACUAUAGCUUGACACUGAACAUUGAGCCUUGAUGUGUAGGAUAGGUGGGAGGCUUUGAAGUGUGGACGCCAGUCUGCAUGGAGCCGGCCUUGAAAUACCACCCUUUAAUGUUUGAUGUUCUAACGUUGGCCCCUGAUCGGGGUUGCGGACAGUGUCUGGUGGGUAGUUUGACUGGGGCGGUCUCCUCCUAAAGAGUAACGGAGGAGCACGAAGGUUGGCUAAUCCUGGUCGGACAUCAGGAGGUUAGUGCAAUGGCAUAAGCCAGCUUGACUGCGAGCGUGACGGCGCGAGCAGGUGCGAAAGCAGGUCAUAGUGAUCCGGUGGUUCUGAAUGGAAGGGCCAUCGCUCAACGGAUAAAAGGUACUCCGGGGAUAACAGGCUGAUACCGCCCAAGAGUUCAUAUCGACGGCGGUGUUUGGCACCUCGAUGUCGGCUCAUCACAUCCUGGGGCUGAAGUAGGUCCCAAGGGUAUGGCUGUUCGCCAUUUAAAGUGGUACGCGAGCUGGGUUUAGAACGUCGUGAGACAGUUCGGUCCCUAUCUGCCGUGGGCGCUGGAGAACUGAGGGGGGCUGCUCCUAGUACGAGAGGACCGGAGUGGACGCAUCACUGGUGUUCGGGUUGUCAUGCCAAUGGCACUGCCCGGUAGCUAAAUGCGGAAGAGAUAAGUGCUGAAAGCAUCUAAGCACGAAACUUGCCCCGAGAUGAGUUCUCCCUGAGACUUUAAGUCUCCUGAAGGAACGUUGAAGACGACGACGUUGAUAGGCCGGGUGUGUAAGCGCAGCGAUGCGUUGAGCUAACCGGUACUAAUGAACCGUGAG
rnacentral:rRNA from 1 species